GCAAGUCGAGCGAGAAGACGUAGCAAUACGUUUGUAAAGCGGCGAACGGGUGAGGAAUACAUGGGUAACCUACCCUUGAGUGGGGAAUAACUAGCCGAAAGGUUAGCUAAUACCGCGUACGAUUCUUAGACUUCGGUUCAGGGAGGAAAGCGCUACCGUGGGUAGCGCGCUCUUGGAUGGGCUCAUGUCCUAUCAGCUUGUUGGUGAGGUAACGGCUCACCAAGGCUUCGACGGGUAGCUGGUCUGAGAGGACGAUC
rnacentral:rRNA from 1 species